ACACCGGCAGCUCAAGUGGUAGCCGCUUUUAUUGGGCCUAAAGCGUCCGUAGCCGGUCUGAUAAGUCUCUGGUGAAAUCCCACAGCUUAACUGUGGGAAUUGCUGGAGAUACUAUCAUGACUCGAGGUCGGGAGAGGCUGGAGGUACUCCCAGGGUAGGGGUGAAAUCCUGUAAUCCUGGGAGGACCACCUGUGGCGAAGGCGUCCAGCUGGAACGAACCGGACGGUGAGGGACGAAAGCCAGGGGCGCGAACCGGAUUAGAUACCCGGGUAGUCCUGGCCGUAAACGAUGUGGACUUGGUGUUGGGAUGGCUUCGAGCUGCCCCAGUGCCGAAGGGAAGCUGUUAAGUCCACCGCCUGGGAAGUACGGCCGCAAGGCUGAAACUUAAAUGAAUUGGCGGGG
rnacentral:rRNA from 1 species